rnacentral:rRNA from 1 species
UGGGGAAUAUUGCACAAUGGGCGCAAGCCUGAUGCAGCCAUGCCGCGUGUAUGAAGAAGGCCUUCGGGUUGUAAAGUACUUUCAGCGGGGAGGAAGGGAGUAAAGUUAAUACCUUUGCUCAUUGACGUUACCCGCAGAAGAAGCACCGGCUAACUCCGUGCCAGCAGCCGCGGUAAUACGGAGGGUGCAAGCGUUAAUCGGAAUUACUGGGCGUAAAGCGCACGCAGGCGGUCUGUCAAGUCGGAUGUGAAAUCCCCGGGCUCAACCUGGGAACUGCAUUCGAAACUGGCAGGCUAGAGUCUUGUAGAGGGGGGUAGAAUUCCAGGUGUAGCGGUGAAAUGCGUAGAGAUCUGGAGGAAUACCGGUGGCGAAGGCGGCCCCCCGGACAAAGACUGACGCUCAGGUGGGAAAGCGUGGGGAGCAAACAGG